GACUGAAACAAGUAUGCGAGCGGGGAAUUCUGAUCUGUAUGGAUUCCUCGAGCCACAAUCCAUUCAGAGUUACAUAAGAGUUGAAUGCAGAGUUCAAAACGCGAUGUCUACCUUGGAGCCUACCUGAAUGACGGACACUGGCAGAUGGUGGUCAUUGUGCCCAAGGAACACCUAGUUGUCAGGUUUUGUUUAUUGCAUAACAGGCUAGACAACUAACUUAAAGGGAUAAUUAACAGUGCUUUAAAAGGUCUUGAUGAUGCUCCAUAACCUAAAUCAAAGACUCCUGCUAGGUGAAUUGUCAUCAAG